CGGAACGUUGCUGGACAAGUCCAAGGGCUAACGGGAGCCAGAGAAGGCUGGGGCUUGGAGGGGAACAAAGUGCCCACUUACCCUCUUUCUUCCUCAGGGUUUUCAAGAGGAACAGGGAUAAGGUGUAGGUUACAAAAGAGCCUUACCCUGGGAAGGAUGAGCCCAGGCUUCCUUUCCUCCCUCACAGGCCCAGCUGGGAUCCCAGCCCAAGCAUGCUGGGGGUGUGGGCAGAGCACUGAGGCACCAGGCCUGCCUGAAAGACUCUGGGGUAUGGUGUUCCGUGGCCCUGGGGCAGGAGGCAGCCACUCCUCUCUGUCAGCCAAGGAGCCUUCUCCAGGGGAUUAACAAGGCCUUCCUGCCACCCCUCCUGGCUGGUGCAGGAGCCAUAACACCACACCUGGCUGCCAGCCAGCCUGUGUCUGGGGAGCCAGUGCUCUCUCAGAGACUUGCAGACACACUGCUGGGGCCCAAGGGCGGGAGGAGGGAGGUGGAGGCUUCUGGGGAGUCCCUGGGGCCACCCAGCUGGGAAGUACUGACCCCGAAGGGCAGCCAGCUCUAGCUUCUGGAAAAACAGGCCUUCCUGGCCCACGGCUGAGGGGUGGACGGGGAGUCCGGAGGGUCUCUUGUUGGUCUGCCCCUGGCCUCUCCCCUGACGACAGGGAACACGGAAUCAAUACAUAACCUGGGAGACCAAGAGCAGGGGUCUAGAAGGCUGUGAACUUCUCUCUUGCCCUGAUGUAUCGCCUGUUGGGAAGCUAAGCUUUAAAGGGGACAAGCACCGUCCAGAUGGCAGAAUGAAGAGAUGACGCGUGGAUGGUGAAGUCCCUGCCUCGUUCUGGACCGACGUUCUCAACAAGGCCUGGGCCACGUGGGGGAGGAGCCCUCUCACCGCGUUGUCACCACGGCCUUUGCCUUGACCUUGGAGCUUCCCGGGAGCUGCCCGUCUUCUCCUGGGGAAGAGUGACUUCCUCUGGCAUCCGGCUCACAACUACGCCCCGGGUACCUCUUCCUCAGUCAGGGGGGAACGUCAGUGUCUGUCCCAACCAGGGGAAUAAUAAAGGCAAAAUCAUCCUAGGCCAAAGGCACUG